UCCUGUCCAACGUUAAUCGGGGCAGGGUGAGUCGACCCCUAAGGCGAGGCCGAAAGGCGUAGUCGAUGGGAAACAGGUUAAUAUUCCUGUACUUGGUGUUACUGCGAAGGGGGGACGGAGAAGGCUAUGUUGGCCGGGCGACGGUUGUCCCGGUUUAAGCGUGUAGGCUGGUUUUCCAGGCAAAUCCGGAAAAUCAAGGCUGAGGCGUGAUGACGAGGCACUACGGUGCUGAAGCAACAAAUGCCCUGCUUCCAGGAAAAGCCUCUAAGCAUCAGGUAACAUCAAAUCGUACCCCAAACCGACACAGGUGGUCAGGUAGAGAAUACCAAGGCGCUUGAGAGAACUCGGGUGAAGGAACUAGGCAAAAUGGUGCCGUAACUUCGGGAGAAGGCACGCUGAUAUGUAGGUGAAGUCCCUUGCGGAUGGAGCUGAAAUCAGUCGAAGAUACCAGCUGGCUGCAACUGUUUAUUAAAAACACAGCACUGUGCAAACACGAAAGUGGACGUAUACGGUGUGACGCCUGCCCGGUGCCGGAAGGUUAAUUGAUGGGGUCAGCGCAAGCGAAGCUCUUGAUCGAAGCCCCGGUAAACGGCGGCCGUAACUAUAACGGUCCUAAGGUAGCGAAAUUCCUUGUCGGGUAAGUUCCGACCUGCACGAAUGGCGUAAUGAUGGCCAGGCUGUCUCCACCCGAGACUCAGUGAAAUUGAACUCGCUGUGAAGAUGCAGUGUACCCGCGGCAAGACGGAAAGACCCCGUGAACCUUUACUAUAGCUUGACACUGAACAUUGAGCCUUGAUGUGUAGGAUAGGUGGGAGGCUUUGAAGUGUGGACGCCAGUCUGCAUGGAGCCGGCCUUGAAAUACCACCCUUUAAUGUUUGAUGUUCUAACGUGGACCCGUGAUCCGGGUUGCGGACAGUGUCUGGUGGGUAGUUUGACUGGGGCGGUCUCCUCCUAAAGAGUAACGGAGGAGCACGAAGGUUGGCUAAUCCUGGUCGGACAUCAGGAGGUUAGUGCAAUGGCAUAAGCCAGCUUGACUGCGAGCGUGACGGCGCGAGCAGGUGCGAAAGCAGGUCAUAGUGAUCCGGUGGUUCUGAAUGGAAGGGCCAUCGCUCAACGGAUAAAAGGUACUCCGGGGAUAACAGGCUGAUACCGCCCAAGAGUUCAUAUCGACGGCGGUGUUUGGCACCUCGAUGUCGGCUCAUCACAUCCUGGGGCUGAAGUAGGUCCCAAGGGUAUGGCUGUUCGCCAUUUAAAGUGGUACGCGAGCUGGGUUUAGAACGUCGUGAGACAGUUCGGUCCCUAUCUGCCGUGGGCGCUGGAGAACUGAGGGGGGCUGCUCCUAGUACGAGAGGACCGGAGUGGACGCAUCACUGGUGUUCGGGUUGUCAUGCCAAUGGCACUGCCCGGUAGCUAAAUGCGGAAGAGAUAAGUGCUGAAAGCAUCUAAGCACGAAACUUGCCCCGAGAUGAGUUCUCCCUGACCCUUUAAGGGUCCUGAAGGAACGUUGAAGACGACGACGUUGAUAGGCCGGGUGUGUAAGCGCAGCGAUGCGUUGAGCUAACCGGUACUAAUGAACCGUGAG
rnacentral:rRNA from 1 species